GACGAACGCUGGCGGCGUGCUUAACACAUGCAAGUCGAACGGAAAGGCCCUGCUUUUGUGGGGUGCUCGAGUGGCGAACGGGUGUGUAACACGUGAGUAACCUGCCCUUGACUUUGGGAUAACUUCAGGAAACUGGGGCUAAUACCGGAUAGGAGCUCCUGCUGCAUGGUGGGGGUUGGAAAGUUUCGGCGGAUGGGGAUGGACUCGCGGCUUAUCAGCUUGUUGGUGGGGUAGUGGCUUACCAAGGCUCUGGCGGGUAGCCGGCCUGAGAGGGUGACCGGCCACAUUGGGACUGAGAGACGGCGCAGACGCCUACGGGAGGCAGCAGUGGGGAAUAUUGCACAGUGGGCGGAAGCCUGAGGCAGCAACGCCGCGUGCGGGAUGACGGCCUUCGGGUUGUAAACCGCUUUCGCCUGUGACGAAGCGUGAGUGACGGUAAUAGGUAAAGAAGCACCGGCUAACUACGUG
rnacentral:rRNA from 1 species